rnacentral:rRNA from 1 species
AUUGAACGCUGGCGGCAUGCUUUACACAUGCAAGUCGAACGGCAGCGCGGGCUUCGGCCUGGCGGCGAGUGGCGAACGGGUGAGUAAUACAUCGGAACGUGCCCAGUAGUGGGGGAUAGCUCGGCGAAAGCCGGAUUAAUACCGCAUACGACCUGAGGGUGAAAGCGGGGGAUCUUCGGACCUCGCGCUAUUGGGGCGGCCGAUGGCAGAUCAGCUAGUUGGUGGUGUAAAGGCCUACCAAGGCGACGAUCUGUAGCUGGUCUGAGAGGACGACCAGCCACACUGGGACUGAGACACGGCCCAGACUCCUACGGGAGGCAGCAGUGGGGAAUUUUGGACAAUGGGCGAAAGCCUGAUCCAGCAAUGCCGCGUGUGUGAUGAAGGCCUUCGGGUUGUAAAGCACUUUUGGCGGGAACGAAAAGGACUGUGCCAAUACCACGGUUCGAUGACGGUACCCGCAGAAUAAGCACCGGCUAACUACGUG